UAGGCGUAAAUGAUGCGAGUUAAGUGUGGGGGCAUCUACGAGAUGGCCCUGUGCUGUAGGGUAGCCGUUAAACUCGCUGCCUGGGGAGUACGGUCGCAAGGCUGAAACUUAAAGGAAUUGGCGGGGGGAGCACCACAAGAGGUGGAGGCUGCGGUUCAAUUGGACUCAACGCCGGAAACUCAUCGGGAGCGACAGCAGUAUGAUUGCCAGGUUGAUGACCUUGCUUGACAAGCUGAGAGGAGGUGCAUGGCGUAGUCGUGU
rnacentral:rRNA from 1 species